CCUCUUUCUUUAAGGAAACAACUGGUAGAAUAUAUCCUGAGAUAUAUUCUGAGGCUUUCUUAUUUUCCUAUAGAACACUAGGCGUUUCUUCUAGGAAGAAAGAAUGGUAGGGCUGAAGCCUCUAAAUCCAGUAUGACUAAUCCUGCACGUAUUCUUUUACUGCUGAGUUUAGCUCCCAAGAAAUCCUUUUAUGUGUUAGUUUGGGGAAACUUGCCUAUCUCAUUCCUCUUGGUGAUUGCUCUCUUGACUUCCUGUUGAGUUAUACAUUGGCUAUAAAUUAUCCCUCACCAGAAAAGUGAUCUUUUAAAACAAGAAUUUUCCUUUAAGUUGUUGAAAUAAUUAUAGGAAAUGGUUAAAGAUAUUAAUAACAUUUCAGAGUUUACAUCAUGUGCUUUACAAAACAAAUGGUCAUUCUAAAGGCCAAAAAGCUGCUACUAAAAUUCCAAUGAUAUCUGGUACUGAACUAAAUCCUCUAAGAAACCAGGGGACUGGCUUAUUCCACAACCCACAAAAUUUAUCACACUCCAGGGUGUAAAGCAAGGCAAAGAACUUUAUUUUCUGUGUUAUGUAUUUCAGUAAAUAUGUCUGUGUCCCUAAAAGUAUAUUAGUUUUAAAGGCCCUAAAGAUGUUGAGUUCCCUAAGACUUCAACAUUUCAGGAUGAUUCCAACUUGCAGAAUAAAAUUUAUAUUUUCCACAGAAUUUAAACUGAUUACUUCCUCAGUUUCCCAGAUUUACGUUUACAGCAUUUGUAAAACAUUUGUAAGGUGGACAGAUAGAUAUCACAAUACUAAAGUCGUGACUUGUUUUCUUUCCUAAUGAGAAGAGAGGGGAGUUAAAGAAGUAAAAAAUGGGGCUCCUCUUGAAAGAAAUUUGAUUAAAAUAGACCUAUUUUAUUCAUAGGCUUAUUUUAUGUUUAUACGUAUAUUCUGUUUCUUAUAGGCUCCCCCGCCCCUGCUUAAGUGUCAAUUUAGAGACUUAGCUGUAAGAAGGUUGUUAAAUAUGAAAGAAUCAAUCUUGAUUUUUCUAAAACCCCUGCUGUCUUUGUUCAGCCACUCAAUUUGAAUCUUGUACGACAUGAUUCCUGAAGAAGCAAGGCUAGAGCUGGCUGGAAAAAAAAGUGACCAAGCAUUUCAGCUUUUCUCAGCUCUGCUGGAUAAUGGAAGAGAACAGCAGCAAGACUCCUUUCUUGCCAUUCAGAAUUGAGGUGGGACCACCUGGGGUUUCCAGUUUUAGAAUAUAACUCUUUGGGCAAUUAGCAAAUCUCUGAGCAUCUGUCUCCCAUGGCAUUUAGGUAAAUUAAUAAUAUUAAACAUUUCUAAAAUAAGAAGUGGGUUAUAAGAUAUGCCAAUGUACCACGAACAUAAUUUGCUCAGUUACCUUUUCCCCAAAGGAGUCUCAUCAAGGUACCGUCCUACAGCAUUAAAUGCUUGUGAGCUCAUAGACCUGAAAUAUCUAUUUCCCACAGAUUCAAGACAAUGAAACUUCAUUAUCAUGCCCCCUUAUUUAACUUCAAUGCCCAGGACAACGAUUUGUUUUAAUGUCCCAGUCUAAACCUCCUGCACCAAUAUUUUUUCAGAUAAUAGCUCCCAUUCAUAAUGCUAACAGCUCUUGAAUUCUCCACUCAUUUUACAGUUAGGAUCUUCUCUUUUCUUUGAGUUCCUAAGCUUUAUAACUUGCUAUAUACAGUCCAAGCUACAUUUUUUUUUAAAGCACAAAUAUUACAUGUGGCACCUGAGAUAACCAGACAAUUCUAAAAUCAACAGGAGCUUUGCUCUUAAGUUACAUAUAUUUCUUUUGAGUUUUCCAUAAGCAACAAUAAAAGAACCUUGCUAAAAUUUUCAAAAUUUAAGUAAAAUUCUUCUUACUUAUGGUUUAUAGGACUUUCAG
rnacentral:lncRNA from 1 species